rnacentral:rRNA from 1 species
UACGUAGGUGGCGAGCGUUGUCCGGAUUUAUUGGGUUUAAAGGGUGCGUAGGCGGUCUUUUAAGUCAGUGGUGAAAUACAGCCGCUCAACGGUUGAGGUGCCAUUGAUACUGAAGGACUUGAGUACAGUCGAGGUAGGCGGAAUUGACGGUGUAGCGGUGAAAUGCUUAGAUAUCGUCAAGAACACCGAUAGCGAAGGCAGCUUGCUAGGCUGUAACUGACGCGGAGGAACGAAGGUGCGGGGAUCAAACAGG